UCGGGCCGGAUACACGGUGGUGACCGCUGACGUCCUGAGGGAUGCCCGCAUCCUCAUCUUGCACAUGGGCCGCGACUUCUCCUUCGACGACUGUGGCCGUGCGUUCACCUGCCUGCCCGCGGAGGAGCCCGGCGCCGCAGCCGAAGCGCUGGUCUGCAACCUGGACAGCCUGCUGGGGACCAUGACACACAGGCUCUGUGUAGGGUCCCCACCUGGCGUCUGGGUCUGCAGCACCGAUAUGCUCCUCACUGUGCCCUCAACACCAGGGAUCAACUGGGAUGGCUUCCAGGGUGUCCGAGUGAUUGCAGUGCCUGGGACCCCAGCAUAUGCCAGGAACCAUGGGGUCUACCUCACCAAUGAGCAGGGGCUGGUACAUGACAUUAUCUACAAAGGCACGGAGGCCCAGAUCCAGCAGUGUGCAGGGCCAGAUGGCACCGUCCCACUGGUCUGUGGGAUUGUUUUCUUGUCUUCGGAUGCUGCUGAGCAGCUUCUGGCCACCCACGUCAUCCCUCCUCUGGACGCCUGCACCUACAUGGGGCUGGACUCGGGGGCACCACCCAUCCAGCUUUCCCUCUUCUUCGACAUUGUGCUGUGCAUGGCAGGGGGGAUGACAGAGGAAGAUUUUGUGAAGGGUGGUGGCGAUGCCAGUGUGAGGAGUGCCCGCUCUGUACUGUGGACAGCUCUCCGUGGCUUCCCUCUUAGCAUGGUCUGCAUUCCCAACGCGUCCUAUGACUACAUGAGUGCCUCUGCGAGCGACCACAUCCGCAGCCUGACUCUCCUGCCUGGCUCUGCCAGCCACCUUCGCUUCUGCAAGACAGCCCAUUCCCACGUGGAUCAACCCUUUCUCCUGGAGGAUGGCUCUUCGGUCACCAACUGCCUGCUGGAAGGAGCUGUGCAGCUGGCAGCUGGCAGUGUCAUCCAGCACUGUCACCUCCAGGGUCCCCUGGUGAUCGGUCCUGGCUGCCUCCUCUCAGGCCUCAACGUGGGCUCCUCACCAGCCCUGCGGGGCUGUUCCCUGCGUGAUAUUGUCCUGCAGGGCCACCACGUCCGGCUGCGUGACCUGUCCUGCCGCGUGUUCACUCUCACCGGCCGCCUCGAUGACUGGCAGAGCCCUGUGGAAAAAGCCACCUACCUGAAUGUGCCCUGGGCUGAGUUUUUCCAACGGACGGGUGUACGGGAAGGGGACCUUUGGGAUGCCGAGAUGCCGCAGAGGAGCCGCUGCCUGCUCAGCGCCCGGCUCUUCCCAGUGCUGCACGCCCGCGAGGUGCUGGGCCUGGAGGAUGUGCUGUGGCUGCUUGGCCUGGCCACUGUGGCCAGUGAGAAGCUGGCACGCUGGAGGACGGCCUGGCGUAUGUCCUGGCAGGAGCUGCUGCCCUGCCUGGACACGGAGGCCGAGCUGGACGCCCGCCAGGCCCUGUUCUUCCUGCAGGGCCAGCGCAAGGUGCGGCGGGUGCUGCUGGGGCGCCAGGACAGCAGCCUCCUGCCUCUUGCCCGCAGCGCCGUCCAUGAGGGCUACCACAAGGCCUUGCUGAGCACACUGGAUGAGGUUGCCUCCACGGCCAGUGAUGCUGGUAUUGCAGCACGGGCACUUGCCUGUAUUGCUGAGGUCCUGGGCUGCAUGGCACAAGGGGAAGGGGGCUUGCGGAGUGGUCCUGCUGCCAACAGGGAGUGGGCCUCAGCUUUUGGGCGCCUGGAGAGCGGGGACAUCGCUGGUGGUGUCCAGGAGCUGGCUGCUGAGCGGCAGAAGUGGAUGAGCCGGCCGGCUCUGCUGGUGAGAGCAGCUCGUCAUUACGAGGGGGCCGAGCAGAUCCUCGUCCGGCAGGCAGUGAUGUCCUCAUGCCAGUUCAUCACUGAUGAACCGGUGGAGCUGCCACCCUUGGGGCACUGGGUGCAGGUGGUGUGUCCGGCCCGCCUGGACCUCUCUGGUGGCUGGAGCGACACACCCCCCAUCACCUAUGAGCAUGGGGGGGCUGUGGUGGACGUGGCAGUGCUGGUGGAUGGGUGCCGACCCAUUGGUGCCCGGGUGCGGCGCAUUGUCCAGCCAGAGCUGCGCCUCGUCAGCCUCAGUGGGACACCACAAAGCGAGGUGGUGGCAGAGCUGGUGUGCCGGGAGCUGGAGCACUUACAGGAUUACUGCCAGCCACAUGCACCAGGAGCCCUGCUCAAAGCUGCCUUUAUCUGCACCCAGGUUGUGCAGUUCCCCUCACAGACACCCUUGUGGGCCCAGCUGAUGAAGAAUUUUGGGGGUGGCUUUGAGGUGCACACCUGGUCCCAGCUGCCCCAUGGGUCUGGCCUCGGUACCAGCAGCAUCCUGGCAGGAGCAGUGAUGGCAUCCCUGUACCGGGCAGCAGGGAAGGCUGCCAGCACUGAGUCUCUUAUCCAUGCUGUGCUGCACUUGGAGCAGAGACUCACAACAGGGGGUGGUUGGCAGGACCAAGUUGGUGGGCUCGUUCCUGGCAUCAAAAUCGGGAGGUCAAAGGCCCAGCUGCCACUCAGAGUAGAAGUGGAGCAGAUCCAAGUCCCUGAUGGUUUUACCGAGACCCUGAACAAUCACCUGCUGCUGGUGUACACGGGGAAGACUCGCCUGGCCCGCAACCUGCUCCAGGAUGUGGUGAGGAACUGGUAUGCCAGGCUGCCCUCCAUCGUGCAGAAUGCUGAUGCGCUGGUGACCUACUGCUCCUUGGCAAGUGCCUGGACUGCUAUUGGCAGCAGAAGAAGUGCAUGGCCCCGGGCUGUGAGCCGCUGGCUGUUGGUCGCAUGAUGGACACUCUCCGGCCCUAUGUCUACGGGCAGUGCUUGGCUGGGGCUGGUGGUGGUGGCUUCCUUUACAUCUUAACCAAAGCCCCUCGGCAGAAAGAGGCUUUGCACCAGAUCCUGGCAAACACUGAGGGAUUGGGCAACUUCAGCAUCCACAGCAUCGAAGUGGACACGGGUGGUUUCUCUGUGGAGGUCGUGGGAUGUGAUACAAAGGAUGGUGCUCACCCUGGAGGGGACAGGGCUGUGUGAAGGACUUCAGCCCUGGCCCAUUGCUGGCAUAUAUCCAGAACAGGUGCAGGGAAAUCCCCACUGCUUUAGGGGCAACUUUUUCAGCCAGCUCCAGUGGAUGCCUUAGGUCUCCAUAUGGCCUUUUUGUGCUGCUACUUCCCAAAAAAGCCAGAGCCUGGAGAAGCUGUGAGAAGUCGUGCAGGCAGGCAAAACUACCCCUGCUGGGUGGCCUUGCUGGAGGGACAGUUUGCUAGGUCCUCCAGCCUGAUUUUGGUUUUUCACUCCAGUCUUUACAGUUCUCCAAAGGGAACAAGCAGCAUUUGUGAUGCUGCAUCUAGCAGGAACCUUCCUGCUCUUCCAGCAGCAGAGACCCAAGCUCCCUGUUCAGUAUGCAAUGCUCUUGCACCAGGGAUGCAGCUGGAUGUGGAAUUAAGACCCUCUCCUGUCCUGAGGCACUGUUUCAGCAGUGAAAUAGUGGAUAGUGCAAGCAAGUUUCUAGUCUGUGCAGUCUGUCUGAAUAAAAAGACUUGUUCCCAG